rnacentral:rRNA from 1 species
AGAGUUUGAUCCUGGCUCAGGAUUAACGCUAGCGGCAGGCCUAAUACAUGCAAGUCGAGGGGUAACAGGGUAGCAAUACCGCUGACGACCGGCGCACGGGUGAGUAACACGUAUGCAACCUACCUAUAACUGGGGAAUAGCCUUCCGAAAGGAAGAUUAACACCGCAUAACAUCACGAGACGGCAUCGUUUUUGUGAUCAAACCUCCAGGGGUUAUAGAUGGGCAUGCGUAACAUUAGCUAGUUGGUGAGGUAACGGCUCACCAAGGCGACGAUGUUUAGGGGGUCUGAGAGGAUGAUCCCCCACACUGGUACUGAGACACGGACCAGACUCCUACGGGAGGCAGCAGUAAGGGAUAUUGGACAAUGGGGGCAACCCUGAUCCAGCCAUGCCGCGUGAAGGAUGAAGGCGCUCUGCGUCGUAAACUUCUUUUAUCCGGGAAAAAUUGUUGGGUUUCUACCUGACUUGAUUGUACCGGAGGAAUAAGGACCGGCUAACUUCGUG